rnacentral:rRNA from 1 species
UGGGGAAUAUUGGACAAUGGGCGCAAGCCUGAUCCAGCAAUGCCGCGUGAGUGAUGAAGGCCUUAGGGUUGUAAAGCUCUUUUACCCGGGAAGAUAAUGACGGUACCGGGAGAAUAAGCCCCGGCUAACUCCGUGCCAGCAGCCGCGGUAAUACGGAGGGGGCUAGCGUUGUUCGGAAUUACUGGGCGUAAAGCGCGCGUAGGCGGCCAUUUAAGUCAGAGGUGAAAGCCCGGUGCUCAACAUCGGAAUAGCCUUUGAGACUGGGUGGCUAGAAUCCAGGAGAGGUGAGUGGAAUUCCGAGUGUAGAGGUGAAAUUCGUAGAUAUUCGGAAGAACACCAGUGGCGAAGGCGGCUCACUGGACUGGUAUUGACGCUGAGGUGCGAAAGCGUGGGGAGCAAACAGG